CCGGUGUUACUCUCGCUGUCAUUGUCACAGAGCCAUCUCAAUUCGUAAGGGAACCUGUAAGGUCAAUCUUGAUUUUAAGCUUUCGUGACUGCAAGAAUCCAUACUAUUUUGUUCUUUCGGUAAAGUCACGUAGGUAUAAAAUAAAAUAAAUCAGGACGUUUCGGGCGCAACACAAGCGUUCAUCAUCAUUGGACGCUCAUAAACCAGUCUUCAUCAAAAAGAACGUCAUUAACUCAUCAGAUUCCUCCAGUGUAAAUAUUCAGAUUACGAUAUAGCCUGCUGAACCUGGAAACCUCUCUCCUCAAUUAAGAAUGUGCUAUUAUAAUCGUCCCUGCCGGCAGGCAAGAUGGAUAAACCCGAUCCACUUUGAGCCAGGUGGUGCCGGAUCGACUGAGCAGCAAACGAGACACAGCCUCUGUUCACGAGUCACAAUAACCAUACAUGGGCAAGGACGCCCACUCGCUUCCACGUCGAGGGACUAAUCUACUUACAAACGUUCGGUGUACGAACGUUCAGAGAUACAAACAAACAUGUCCGUAUGUCCAAGCUGCCUGUUAGGAUCGAGAGUCGUAAGUGCAACCGCCGAACUAUAGAUGGUGGUGGUGUCUGCAUCUGCAGAACAUGAAGAAGCGGUGGCAUCUACAUCUGCAGCAGGGAUGUGCGGUCAGGGGAGACAGUAGAGGCAGAGCCUCACCUGUCAUACUCCAAUGAAAAUAGCUGUUACGAAAAGUAAAUAAUAAAAUAAAUAUUAAGAAUUUUUUUUCCCCACUGAUCUGUGUUAUAAAUGUCAUUUCAAUAUGAUUCCAAUCAUUUUUCCUAGUCAAAAUCGCCAAAUUUGCGGAGCUUCGCUGCAAAUACAGGGAGAGACGAGAGGUGAGGCAGCGACGCGCUCAGCCUCCCCUCUGAUUGCGCAACCCCUCAGAAACUGGAUGGAGCGCGGGCAAUAAGCGUGUGCCUGUUACGAUCUCUCUGUAUGUCACCAAUGUAAUGUUUGUAGACCCCUUCAUUACAUGUCCUCGCCUUCCAUAGUCCAGGUAACUUAUUUCACGUAUGUGUAUAAAGAUAUUGAUGAUCGCUGGUCUCGUCAUGAAACUGCAGUGAAAAGCGCCAGGGGAGGCAGCUAUCACAUCUGCCUCACUGAAGGGGGCGUGUCUGACACGCCCCCUUCAGUAAAGACACGCCCCCUCUCGGUGAGUACACGCCCCCUCAAUGAGGCAGCUAUCGCAUCUGCCUCACUGAGGGGGGCGUGUUCUUAGCCAGUGCCUCCCCAGCCAUUGACCUCACCGCACGUCACUGAUCUGUAGAACAUGAAGAACCAGUGGCAUCUACAUCUGCAAAACAUGAAGAACCGUAUGUCGAGUUGCCUGGUCGGAUCGAGAGUCGUAAGUUCAAUCACCGAGCAGUAGAUAGCUGUGGUGGCACCUACAUCUGCAGAACGUGAAGAACCAGUAGCAUCUACAGGAGAUUAUACAACUUUUAAAGCCAUUCCCCGUGUUUAGUGUACAUUCCGUAAAACGUGUUUGGAAUCGACAGGAGUAAAGUUGGACUUACGAACAAAUCGACGAACGAACAGACCUCUGGAACCGAACUUGUUCGUAAGUAGAGGAGUCCCUGUUUAGGGGGGGGGGGUCUCUGCUUAGUGAUUUCGUCGGGAGUACGAUCGUAUCGCUCGAUUAUUACAGCGCCGUCCCGAAUUGAAUGGCAAAUUCCCCCAGCGUUUUUUUUAUUCUAACACAACCCUCUGCCGGAUUAAAAUUUUAAUUAGUAGAUUUCCCAAAAAAUGUUCGGUCCCUAUUAAAGCGUGGGGCACUUUGGGUGAGGGGUUACUCGCGACGACUGCUCGCGUUCUCUUUCAAUCGCCAAAUCUUUACCAGAAUUUAAGAAUCGCUGCCAUAGACGAUUGGAGGUGACGAGUCACGCGACUCGCUUUUCAAUGGACAAUGCAUCUUCCUAAAGACCCAAAAACACCCGAGGCGUUUGACAAUUCCUCCGUGUUCAAUAUCGCGGUCGGUCAGCAGAGGGCGAUGUUAAUAUGGAAAGCAAAUACCUAAAUAAAGUCGUGGAGUACAACGCCAUUUUACAUGUUAAGCGCGCAAUACUCAUCUAUCAAGUGAUAAAGUGUUUGAGUGUCUUCCAUGGACAGCAUGUUACGAAAUUCACGUACUCGCAAUCUGUUGACAAAGGCUCUUGCGCAAUGCACUGCAGAUGCGAUCUUGUCAGCUGUACUGACACAAGUGCAUUCAAACGCUUUUCGCGAAACGUAAAGGCAUUGCGGUGGCAAACAUCGCUACAUUUGUAAUGGAGAGACGAACAUCCCAGUGGAAGGUGAAAAAUAACAAAACAUAUUACGAAUGGGGU